CAUGCAGUCGAACGCUUCUUUCCUCCCGAGUGCUUGCACUCRAUUGGAAAGAGGAGUGGCGGACGGGUGAGUAACACGUGGGUAACCUACCCAUCAGAGGGGGAUAACACUUGGAAACAGGUGCUAAUACCGCAUAACAGUUUAUGCCGCAUGGCAUAAGAGUGAAAGGCGCUUUCGGGUGUCGCUGAUGGAUGGACCCGCGGUGCAUUAGCUAGUUGGUGAGGUAACGGCUCACCAAGGCCACGAUGCAUAGCCGACCUGAGAGGGUGAUCGGCCACACUGGGACUGAGACACGGCCCAGACUCCUACGGGAGGCAGCAGUAGGGAAUCUUCGGCAAUGGACGAAAGUCUGACCGAGCAACGCCGCGUGAGUGAAGAAGGUUUUCGGAUCGUAAAACUCUGUUGUUAGAGAAGAACAAGGACGUUAGUAACUGAACGUCCCCUGACGGUAUCUAACCAGAAAGCCACGGCUAACUACGUGCCAGCAGCCGGCGGU
rnacentral:rRNA from 1 species